GGGCGAGUGGUGGAAUUGGCAGACACGCAUGGCUUAGGACCAUGUGCCGAAAGGCUUGGAGGUUCAAAUCCUCUCUCGCCCA
rnacentral:tRNA from 1 species